GAGUCCUAUUUCAAGAGAAGAGAGCUCACCACCAGCCAUCACGAGGCCAUGAAGAGAAGCAUCACAUGUAUCUCACCACUCAAACGAUGCACAACCUAAUGAUGCUCAGCAAGAAGCUGUGGUACCUAAAUCAGUUUAAGCACUGCCACCACCUCCUCAGCCUACAUCAGUAGUCGUAAACGAUCAAUUGUUCAGCAGGUGUAGGCCUGGAUCACUGUGAUAUAAUAUACGCAACAGACCGCUAUAGCUCAACCUACACCAAGUCCCCUACCUCUCACCGAGAUUAAGUUAGACCAGCGAUCUAGCGGUCACCUCCUCAUAGUCCAAGGCAGAGGCACAAUCAACAUAACUAACUUGAGGGCCCCGAUCGAGGAUAGCAUACAUGCUCACUAACUCU
rnacentral:lncRNA from 1 species